GAGGGUACAGCUCCAUGGUAGAGCGCAUGCUUAGCAUGCAUGAGGUCCUGGGUUCAAUCCCCAGUCCCUCU
rnacentral:tRNA from 1 species